UACGUAGGGUGCGAGCGUUGUCCGGAAUUACUGGGCGUAAAGAGCUCGUAGGUGGUUUGUCGCGUUGUUCGUGAAAACUCACAGCUCAACUGUGGGCGUGCGGGCGAUACGGGCAGACUGGAGUACUGCAGGGGGAGACUGAAUUCCUGGUGUAGCGGUGGAAUGCGCAGAUAUCAGGAGGAACACCGGUGGCGAAGGCGGGUCUCUGGGCAGUAACUGACGCUGGAGGAGCGAAAAGCGUGGGGAGCGAACAGG
rnacentral:rRNA from 1 species